AUUGAACGCUGGCGGCAUGCCUUACACAUGCAAGUCGAACGGCAGCACUGGUGCUUGCACCUGGUGGCGAGUGGCGAACGGGUGAGUAAUACAUCGGAACAUGUCCUGUAGUGGGGGAUAGCCCGGCGAAAGCCGGAUUAAUACCGCAUACGAUCUACGGAUGAAAGCGGGGGACCUUCGGGCCUCGCGCUAUAGGGUUGGCCGAUGGCUGAUUAGCUAGUUGGUGGGGUAAAGGCCUACCAAGGCGACGAUCAGUAGCUGGUCUGAGAGGACGACCAGCCACACUGGGACUGAGACACGGCCCAGACUCCUACGGGAGGCAGCAGUGGGGAAUUUUGGACAAUGGGCGAAAGCCUGAUCCAGCAAUGCCGCGUGUGUGAAGAAGGCCUUCGGGUUGUAAAGCACUGUUGUCCGGAAAGAAAUCCUUGGCCCUAAUACGGUCGGGGGAUGACGGUACCGGAAGAAUAAGCACCGGCUAACUACGUG
rnacentral:rRNA from 1 species